CCCGCCGCCCCUACACCCGCUGUGACACAGUCACCCCUCACUCCACACCUCACUCUUCUCAGCCUGGUCCUCGCGCGGCGCGCUCUCUCUCCAACCUUUUUUCCGCCACUUCUCUCACCUCCGCUCCCCGCCCCUCCCUCACCCCUCCUUUCUCAGCCUCUCGCCGCCUCUGCCCUGGUCUUCCCCGCCGGCCCGCUCUCCACGCUCCAGUGUGCCUUAAAAAUUUUUUUUAAAAAGAUUUUAUUUAUUUAUCCUUAGACACACAGAGAGAAGCAGAGACACAGGAAGAGGGAGAAGCAGGCUCCAUGCAGGGAGCCCGAUGUGGGACCCGAUCCCGGGUCUCUAGGGUCACACCCCAGGCCGCAGGCGGCGCCAAACCGCUGCGCCACCGGGGCUGCCCUCCGGUCUGCCUUUCUAUCCUUUCCUGUUUCCCGUCUGCUUCUCUCCCCUUGCUCGGCCUGCUCCCCUGCCCGGCCCCGCUUGGCCUCGGCCUCGGCCCCCUGGCUGCCAGCCAGCUCUCCGCUCCUUCCUGCCCCUCGCCCCUCGGCCUUCUUACUCCGUGGCUCUCUCGUGGGUCUCAGCUGCUCCCAACUGCUCCCUGCCGCUCCGCACCCCCCCCCCCCUUCUCGUCUCCCUCCUCCCUGCCCAUCCUCUCUGCUCUGCCUUCCAUUUCCAACUCUAUCCCUCGGUCCCUCUCCCUCCUUCUCCUGCCCCCAGCCUCGCUCUCGGGUGCCAGGGUCUCCUUUCUUCUUCCCUUAUGCCUCCUUCUCCCAGGACCUCCCCCCAGCCUGUCUUCUCUCUCAUCUCCUGCCUCCUUGCUCCCCUCUCCUGCUGGCUUCCUUGCCUUCUCUCCUGUCUUCUCUUUCCAGUAUCUCUCCGUUCCUUUUCCCCCUGAGUCUGUCACCUAUGCUCCCUCUCCUCUCAGAUCUUUCCCCUCCACUGGCCUCCUUUCCUCUGACCCGAGCCUCCCAGUCUCCUGUCAGCGAGGCUUCUGCAUGCUCCACGUGAGCCCUGAGGUCCUUUCCCUUGACCGACCAUCCCUCUCCCUCCCUGAGGUUCUGAGCUGACAUCCUCCUAGGGAUAGGUGCCAGGUGUGUGGCAAGAGCAGGGCUCCCACGCCAGGAGCCCCUGGUGGUGGAAGGGCCUUGGUGACACCCAUUUUCUCUCUUUUCUGUCCUGGAUGCUGGCCACUGCCCGGAGGAAUGAGGCCUGCCACCCAGCCCAGGAAGGAGGACGUGAGGAACUGGCCCUGAGACGGGGUGUGAGUUGCCUAAAGAGAUUUGCGUGCAGCUGCAUGGAGCACUGGCAUGGAGCACAAGACUUCCCGACUCCCCGUUCACAGAUGAGAAAAUCGACACUCGUGUUCUGGAGGACUGGCAUCUACUGGGACAAAGGCUUCAUGGAAACCCCGACCUUCCCAGGGGCCAAGAGCACCCCCACCCCGACCCCCCUGCAAGGCACUUCUUUUCAGCAAGAGGGCCAUGUGGGCCUGACCUCCCCCAGAACACCCAGGAGAGUAUCCUAUGGGCCUGAGAGGCAUUCUUGGGCGAGGUGGAAUCGUUCAUCACCACCAGCUGAUGGAAGACGGGACUGUAUCCCAGCUGUAUUAGCUGCUGGGAAUAGUCUCAAGCAAAAUUCUGUAAAAGGGAACAUUUUACUCCUAGUCAGUAUGUAAACAUCAUAGCCCGCAAGUUCCUUGGUAUGUCAACCUAAACCUCCAGAUGUCGUGUUUUCAACUCAUCCCUUGGGUGGAUUCUCUCCUGCACUGCCAUGGAAAUGUAUACGUGACUACUAUGGCAAACAAAGGAGAGUGGGAUUUGGUUUACAGUUUGCUUGGGAGCCUGUUUCUAGGAACUGGGCCAGAUCAAGUUUUCCUUUGCAAUGACGCCAUCAUGCCUUGCUGAACGGAAGGUGGGUGCAGGCAAAGGUGACUGACUGCUGGCUAGAGGCCCCAGGGAUUGGACCCUGAUCCUCACCAUGAAGUCUCUCUCUGAUGGGUUAAAUAAAGGAGCCUAUGGAACUCUUUC